rnacentral:lncRNA from 1 species
UGUAUAGGGAUUGGUUUGAUAGUAGACUAAACAGCUUGCAUCACUAGUUAUGUUUUUUUUUCUUACAUAAAUGGACGGACGCUAAAUGGUGGUAAAUGGAUAAAUGGUCAAAUUGAUUAUUUUCAUUUACCUGUGUACAUUAUUCUAUUUGACGGCAUUUUGUUCAAGGUUAUGAUUGUCUUUCUGAAAUUGUUUUACAUCCCAC